AGACAAACAAACCCAACAUGUUCACUGACAACAAGAUCAAUGUGAUGCAAGUUCAAGCAAUUUUCAGGCACAAGACCGAGGGGUGGGGGUGUCUACCAAAACUGGAGAGCAACAAAUCUACAUAUAAGUUUGAUAAGCAGUAUCCUGUCAAGAGACUGUCAAGUAAAACAAAAGUAAAAUUAAAUAAUCUAAACAAGCAGGUGACAAAAACAUUUAGAUGUUACUUAAGGACUCAUUACUGAUACUGAAUUCUAAAGAUUUGCAUUUAAAUUGAUCUGAACUGCCUCUUUCAUCACAGAUAUCACAUUUCGGUUUGACUUCUACAAACUAACUCAGUUCAUAAACCUAAACUUAUCUUAUCAAGCGCAGGACGUGUGCAAAAUUUGUUUUGAUGACACACAAAUUUUAAAUAAAGUCAUCUUAAUGUUGUUACAGUUGGUUUUUUUAAAUGCCAUUUUAGUAAAUGCAGUUUUUAAUAGAGCCUAAAUAUUACAGAACUGAAUGAAAGGUCAGUUAAAAAUUGUUUACAAAUCUGACUAAACCAACCUAUUUGUGGUUUAAUAUAACUUAUAAUAAUUUUAGAAACAAUAAGAGCAUAGAUUUAACUGUUCACCACUGAACUGUGUUUGUAAAGCACCAACAAUGACAAUAAAUGUUUUGCAGGUUGCACUUUUACCCAUUAGACAUGUAGCACUAAGAAAGAAAGAAUGUAGAUUCUGUGUUUUAAGACUUUGAGACGUAUUCUUGGCAGUACACCGGCAGCUUGUUGUGACAACCUCAUGCAUGGGGCAACACUCGGGGCAUAAAAGGUGUUAACACUCAGCGAGGGCCCAAAACAGAGCAUGAACAAUGAAAUGAGGCGCUGAUAAAAACUUGCCAAACCUGCCCUAAAACUUUCACUAAUCUACAGAAUCAAAAGGAGAUCUGUUUAACACCAAACAGCCGACAGAGACAGCAGAGGAAGGAGGAAGUCACCUUUUUUACAGAUUGUCACACAGCUCAUUCAUGACUCUGAUGACAGCAGGGCUCUUCAGAGAUUGUGUGACCAGAAGAGAGUCUUCAAGUGCAGAUGAUGAGAUUGGUUACUUGUCUGAACAAUGAAAAAUGUCUAUUGGGAUGGGAGAGAACUCACUUCGGACUAAAACUCACAUAUAAUCUAAGAGGUGAUGAUAUGAAACACAGUGGAGACGAGGAAGAGGGCACACAGGCCCAUGCCGUACACCCAGGCAGUGAUCUUCUCCCAGCCGUUGUCCGACAGACGGUGCAGCAACGCCAUGCCCACGAAGGCCGGCACAAUGAGGAGCUACAGAGAUGGAACGAAAUCACAGAGCCAUUAAAACAACGUAUUUGAGAUGAUGUCAUCUACAUAGAAAAAGUUCAUUCAAGCCACUCACUGCAUGAGUGUAGCAGUUGGCAGCAUGCUCAUAGCAGGUGGGCUGGUAGCGGCAGUUAGUAGAAGCCCGUCUGUUCAUGAAUCUGAAACACACACACACACAAAUAAACAAAAAAUAAACAACUAUGGAAGGCU